rnacentral:rRNA from 1 species
AAUAAAGAUGGGCCCGCGGCGCCAUAGCGUAGGUGGGUGAGGUAAUGGCUCCCCAAGGCGACGAUGCGGUAGCGGACUGAGAGGGGUGAUCGGCCCACACUGGACUGAGAACGCCAGACUCUACGGGAGGCAGCAGUAGGGAUCUCGCAUGACGAAGUCUGACGGAGCACGCGCGGGGACGAGAGCUCGGGUCGUAAGUCGUGUAGGGAGACAAGUACCAGAGGUACUGCUGGUACCUUGACGGUACCUACCAGAAAGCCACGGCUAACUACGUGCCAGCAGCCGCGGUAAUACGUAGGUGGCAAGCGUGUCCGGAAUUAUUGGGCGUAAAGCGCGCGCAGGUGGUUCCUUAAGUCUGAUGUGAAAGCCCACGGCUCAACCGUGGAGGGUCAUUGGAAACUGGGGAACUUGAGUGCAGAAGAGGAAAGUGGAAUUCCAAGUGUAGCGGUGAAAUGCGUAGAGAUUUGGAGGAACACCAGUGGCGAAGGCGACUUUCUGGUCUGUAACUGACACUGAGGCGCGAAAGCGUGGGGAGCAAACAGGAUUAGAUACCCUGGUAGUCCACGCCGUAAACGAUGAGUGCUAAGUGUUAGAGGGUUUCCGCCCUUUAGUGCUGCAGCUAACGCAUUAAGCACUCCGCCUGGGGAGUACGGCCGCAAGGCUGAAACUCAAAGGAAUUGACGGGGGCCCGCACAAGCGGUGGAGCAUGUGGUUUAAUUCGAAGCAACGCGAAGAACCUUACCAGGUCUUGACAUCCUCUGACAACCCUAGAGAUAGGGCUUUCCCCUUCGGGGGACAGAGUGACAGGUGGUGCAUGGUUGUCGUCAGCUCGUGUCGUGAGAUGUUGGGUUAAGUCCCGCAACGAGCGCAACCCUUGAUCUUAGUUGCCAGCAUUCAGUUGGGCACUCUAAGGUGACUGCCGGUGACAAACCGGAGGAAGGUGGGGAUGACGUCAAAUCAUCAUGCCCCUUAUGACCUGGGCUACACACGUGCUACAAUGGAUGGUACAAAGGGCUGCAAACCUGCGAAGGUAAGCGAAUCCCAUAAAGCCAUUCUCAGUUCGGAUUGCAGGCUGCAACUCGCCUGCAUGAAGCCGGAAUCGCUAGUAAUCGCGGAUCAGCAUGCGCAGUAUCGAACAA